AGGACACUGUUAAUUAGGAAAAUAGUUGCAAAAUAAAGAGGCUUUGGAGAGAACAAACUACAAAUGUGAUUCAAAUAUAUUGAAUCUUUCCAAGAUGUGCCUUGUGGCCUUUCUCAGCGUAUUACUUGUUCAGAACAUCACUCAUGAGCCAGGAACCAUGAACAUGCAGGAACUGUGUACACGAUGUGGUUCAAAAAUUUUAUCCUCUAAGUAAUUAUAUUGAAAUAAAUAACUAUGGACUGACAACAAAGAUGGAACCAAGAGAAGAGCAUCUUUGAACCACUUUCAUCUUAAAGACAAGAGAAACCACCCAACAGCACUUAAGAUGUCCAGUGAAGUCUCAAUAGAGCAUUUGUAAGAAAGACUCUUUCCAUUCCAAGGCAAAAUAAGAUUGUAAAACACCAUUUUUUUUCAUACUUGUGGGAACAUAAGUCCACAUUUGAGAGUGGCUUCAGCUUGGCAGUGAAUACAUCUGGGGAUCAUUAGCCAUCAAGGUCUUGUUAGUUUAAAAGUGGAAUUGGAAGCCAUGAGUCCUAAAAAAUAUGAGUUGCACCCUUAGUAAGGAAAAUGUUCCCUCUGAACUGUUUCUAAAAGGGUAGAACGAGAGACAGUUUACGUUUAGGUUAUGAAUACAUGUCGGAGAAGGAGAACUGUGCAAUAAACAACUUAAAUCAUCUUUUGCUGUAUUAAAUGCCCAAGGAGAAAGGGGAGGGGAGGCCUAGGAAGAAGAGAAAAGAAUAAAUAGAAAGGAGAAAAGGGGAGAAGAGGAUAGUGGGAAAGGAAGGGAAGGAGGGAAGAUGAGGGGAGAGGAGAGAGAAGUCAGUCUUUUGAAAUUAUGAGACCAGAUUUCCUGUGUCCAUGAGUCAUCAUUUAAAGGCAUUUGAUGACAUUUAAUAGAAUUCUUGAUUUUAACAAGGCAGAUUCUGCGUGCACAGGACAGCAUUGUGUCGUGAAAAGGACAAAAUAGUAACUGGUUUUGUGACUCAUUCACAUUAUAAAGAAUGAAUCCCUUCGUGUAUUCACACCCUAGAGGCUAUUUCACUUUUUUGUUAAAUUAAACAAAGCCUUCAUUUGUAGCCAGGCAGUGGCACCUCUUUGUGGUUACAUCACCACAGAUGUAAUGAUACUCUUAAAAGAUUAUGCUUUCAGUUGGUUCUAUAAAUGCAGUCAUGGGUCGGAGUGUAUACAGUAUAUACAAACACAUAUGUGAUGAUAUUUAUUAUCAGCCCACAUCUUAUUUCCCCCAUUCCUUUCCCUUUAGUUUGAUGACAAUGAUGGAUUUGAAUUCCAAAAUGUUAGUUUCAUGAUUUUUUUUUUAGUCUAAAAUAAAUAUCUCAUAAGUACUUUCCUCCUUGGGCAAUGUGUUUCUCAUUUGCUGUGGCACUAAGUGUAUAGGUAUGGCUGACCGCUAACCUGACAUAUGCCUGUCACCAGGGACUGCUGGUUCUUUCAUCUUCUUAAUGGACAUUUCUCUACAGAUGUCUGUGGCCUACCUGACUAUAAUCCUUUAAAUUUUAAUUCACUUUACAUUUAGCCUGGUCAUAAAUACCAUUUAGGUACCAAUACUCUGCUUUAUGCAAUCCCUAAGGUGGUGCUUUUAUUUUAAUGAGGCCAUUUGCAACUUAAGAGCAAAAAAAUUCCAUCUUUGAUUGAAUAUAUUUGUCAGUUUUAUUCCCGAUUGGCAUUUUCAUGGGAAAACUUGGAUAAAACUAAAGGAUGGCUGCUUACCAAGUGGGAUAAAAGUUUCAGUAUGUUUCUACUUUCAAAAUUUACUGAAUAAAUGGUCUUUGAAAUUCAUUUUGAAAACAUCAAAGUAAACCCUGGCUGUAAUCAAAAGUAAAAUCCGGAAUUAAGUUAUGUUGCAAAUGAAAUUUCCACUGUUUUUUUUUUUUUUAUUUGAAAGGAAAAAAUAAAUUGAGACUCCAGUUAAUAAACUACUUAAAUAAUGGGCUAGCAUAAUAACACAUGGAGGUGAAUGCAGAAGGAUACAUACAAAUAGUGGCUAAUUAUCAAUUUUGCAAUUAUGUUGUCCCAUUUUUAUUCCAAUGUUAUAGUCUUUUUAUGAGGAACACAGUAUGUUCCCUCCCCCCAACGCUAGCAUUUAGGAUCUGGUAGAUUGCCAUUGACUUUUUAAUUUAUUUAAAAUUUGGUAUGAAGUACAUUUAUUUAAAUAGUAUCUUUAAAAACUGUAUGCACAGUUUUUUAAUCAUGGGGUCAAAUUCUCCACCCUAGUGCACACACUUUGCUGUACACUUUUAUAGAGUUUCUCUGUAUUCAUAGAAAUUAAUUUCUAGGCAUAUGUGAUUAGAAAUAUUAAAUUAGGUUUUUGCUCUGUAUAAGUCAGUGGUGAUUUCAUAUAGUUUUAUUUGAGGGGAGGAGCAACAGAUGAAAAAUUAAUUAGAGAAAAAAAUUUGAAAUAUUUUCUUGGAAAGCAAAAGAACUUUGACUACUUAAAAUGCUAUAGUAAGUGGAUUAGUUAACAUGGUAAUUAAACUAAUUAUUGGGUUAUUUUUACAAAUUUGGUUUGUAAUAUUCCUCAAAAAUGACAAUUAUGGUAGUUAUUUCCUUAAGUAAGAUGGAUGAUGUUUCACUAUUUAACUCAAGAAUAUUUUGUACAAAAGAUUUUGUAUUUCCCAUUUAAUCUUUUCAUCUAAUUUUAAGAUAUUGUUAUAUUUGACAAAUAUGGCAACUAAGGUUCAGAGAGGUUAACUUUCUACUGUUGUACUCAAGUCAUGAAUUGGAAUUCAAACCUAUAUCACUCAGAAUCCCAGUAUUUUCAAAAAUUGUCUUCUCUAUUGCCUUUUCAAUGUUUCCUAAGUAUAGUUUUUUGAUUAUUUAUUUAGAGUGUUAAAGGUAAACAAGUAUUUUAACAUGACUAGGCCGGAAUACAGUGUGGAAGUUGCAGUUAUGACAUACCUUUACUAAUCCUUCUAUCAAGGGCACUUUGUCCUUCAGAGAAAAACCUAGACCAUAGAAGGCUGGGAAACUUGACUAUGCAUUUCAGCAAAGGCCUGUGUAAUUUAUUUCCAUAUUUUUUUAUGAUUUUGUUCUUAAAAUUCCUUUGAGUAACUGAAACCGCAAUAGAAAUAAUGGUAUUAUGAGCCUAAAUAAUAUUUUAUACCAAAAUGCAAAGUUUAUAAAUGAACUUACUACCACUACUGAGAUGGAGCAAGACCACCCCUACUCAUGUCCUUUCGUCUGCAGAAAGAUUUUAGUCAAAGAACAAGUUGAAUCAGAGAAGUAAGAAAAUGCAGAAGCAAAGGAUGACAGUCACAAAUAUUAAUAGUUUAGUCAUUAAGGAAACUCAAGGACCUUUAGUUCCUUCCCAAGGACUAUAGGUACUAUUCUGAGCCACAUCCUGUGAGCUGUCUUGCAGAUACUAAAACUCCUAUCAGGUGGAAGAAAUUAACUACAUUAUGACCAGACUGUAGCCAUGACAUCAGCUGCCACAGUUUCAAGAACUAGCUUCUAUGAAAUGGAACAACCUUGGAACUGAGAUGAACUGUACUUAAAAUAAUCAAGAUGGCUUUGGUCAGACCACCACAUGACCAAUUUCAAGAGGACUGUCAGAGCUGACUGCUAUUUCUGCAUGUAGCCCCCUGCCUCUGCUUAUACACCCCUGAAACACUCCUUUUAAAGGUCUUGUCCCCUGGUUGUCCUACUCCCUGGUUUACCAGCCUCCAAAAUAAAGCAAACUUUCCUUUCUG